GAUCCUGCCAGUAGUCAUAUGCUUGUCUCAAAGAUUAAGCCAUGCACGUCUAAGUAUGAGCCUUUACACGGCGAGACUGCGGACGGCUCAUUAAAUCGGUCAUAAUCCGCUCGAUCGCGACCUCACUCGGACAACCGUAGUAAUCCUAGAGCUAAUACGUGCGAAAGGGCCCCGCGAGGGGCCCGUAUUUAUUAGGCGAAGGACCGACGCGGGCCGCGAGGCCCGUAACUCGGCGAAUCGGAACGACUCCGCGGAUCGCACGGCCUCGAGCCGGCGACGCUUCGUCCGAAUUUCCGCCCUAUCAACUCCCGACGGCAGGGCAGCGGCCCGCCGUGGUGCUCACGGGUGACGGAGAAUCGGGGUUCGAUUCCGGAGAGGGAGCCUGAGAGACGGCUACCACUUCUACGGAAGGCAGCAGGCGCGUAAAUUACCCAAUCCCGACCCGGGGAGGUAGUGACGAUAAAUAACGGCGCGGGGCCGAACGGUCCCGCGGUCGGAAUGAGGACGACCCAAACCCGCUACCGAGCAACGAUCGGAGGGCAAGUCUGGUGCCAGCAGCCGCGGUAAUUCCAGCUCCAAUAG
rnacentral:rRNA from 1 species